rnacentral:tRNA from 1 species
AGCUUUAUAUUCAAUAUGAUAUGAAAUUGCAAAUUUCAAGGUAUAUAAUUAUAAUAUAUUAAGGCUU